GCUGUGCUGCGUACAGUGGACUGGCCUGCUAAUGUAACGCUGAGGAGAUUCCUGCUCGGUGCAGGAACUCCCCAGCAGUGUCUGCUGUGCUCCGAUUGGCAGAGUGACACAUCACUCAGUCACUCAGCCAAUCGGAGCACAGACAACCCCACACCCUUCCCAGAAAGGAGGCUUGCUAGUCUGACUGUACAUGAAAUUGCAGGCUAAAGCUCAACACUAACACGGCACAAAUGCUGCUGACGUUUCCAGUUUCCAUGCAGGAAGACAGGUAGGAUGAGAUCAACUGGCAAAGAGAUUUGCAGAGUGUCGGGUGACCGGCAAAGAGAUCUGCAAAGUGUCAGUUGAAGACGACGGGAGGGGUCGCAAAGGAAUUAAUGACUGGAGAAUAGCAUGCAGGAGUGGGUGAUCCCUGAAUAGCUGCCCUGGGAGGAGAGCUGCGGACACAUGCUACAAAUAUUGGGACAUAUGCAUUACCUAUUAGGAGAUGCGGUAAAGAUGCCGGCUGUCGGGUUUACGGCAGUCAGAAUACUGACACUGGGAUCCCGACACUCUACAGAAUCCCGACGUUGGAACUCCGAAUGGGCAAGGAUACCGGCGCCCGUAUCUCCAUGAUCAUAGGUUUAGGGCUGGGCAAAGGGGGUUAGGUUUAGGCAUCAGGC